rnacentral:rRNA from 1 species
CCUACGGGUGGCAGCAGUGGGGAAUAUUGCACAAUGGGGGAAACCCUGAUGCAGCAACGCCGCGUGAGUGAAGAAGUAUUUCGGUAUGUAAAGCCCUAUCAGCAGGGAAGCAGAUGACGGUACCUGAAUAAGAAGCCCCGGCUAACUACGUGCCAGCAGCCGCAGUAAUACGUAGGGGGCAAGCGGUAUCCGGAUUUACUGGGGGUAAAGGGGGCGCAGACGGCAGUGCAAGUCUGGAGUGAAAGCCCGGGGGCCAACCCCGGAACUGCUCUGGAAACUGUGCGGCUAGAGUACUGGAGGGGCAGGCGGAAUGCCUAGUGUAGCGGUGAAAUGCGUAGAUAUUAGGAGGAACACCAGUGGCGAAGGCGGCCUGCUGGACAGUAACUGACGUUGAGGCUCGAAAGCGUGGGGAGCAAACAGGAUUAGAUACCCUUGUAGUC